GCCGGGUGUGGUGCUGUGCACCUGUAGUCCCAGCUACUAAGGAGGCUGAGGAGGGAGGAUUGCUUGAGGCUGGGAGUUUGAGGCUGCAGUGAGUUAUGGUUGUGCCACUGCACUCCAGCCUGGGCAACAAAGCAAGACCCUAUCUCAA
ensembl:misc_RNA Metazoa_SRP Metazoan signal recognition particle RNA